GACGUAGGGUCCAAGCGUUGUCCGGAUUUACUGGGCGUAAAGAGCGCGUAGGCGGUCCGUUAAGUGUAGAGUGAAAGCUCCGGGCUCAACUCGGAAAUUGCUCUGCAUACUGGCGGACUCGAGGAUGGAAGAGGUUUGUGGAAUUCCUGGUGUAGCGGUGAAAUGCGUGGAUAUCAGGAGGAACACCCAUGGCGAAGGCAGCGAAACUGGUCCAUAUCUGACGCUGAGGCGCGAAAGCGUGGGUAGCAAACAGG
rnacentral:rRNA from 1 species